rfam:Schistosoma mattheei strain Denwood, Zambia genome assembly, scaffold: SMTD_contig0003796
AGCUAACUGAUGAGUCUCAAACGGAACGAAACGCGCGUCCUAGAU